GCCUGGACGGUCUCUGGGCUCUUGUCAGCUGCUUUUGAACCUGAGGUUCCUGCGUCGUUGAGCCAGAAAUCAGACCACCGAAGCUCACUCCCUUCCUCUCCAUCUCUCCCUCUCUCCAAGACUCUGGCAGUGGCCUAUGAUCCUGAAGACAGCUCUGCAGCCAACUGGUGCUUUGGCCUUUGCGCUGUCCCGGGGCCAGCUUCCCUCGACCUGGGGAGGCCGUGGCCUGUGGAGGAGGCCCAGGUAAAGGCUGGGGGCUGUUGCUGGCUAUCCUCUUUGCUUCUGGAAGUUUCUGCCUCACUCAGAAUGGGCAGGACAGACCCACUGACUGGACUUCAGAGUCUGGAGGGUUCCAUCGGUCAGGGGAAUGGCGGCCACGUGACCUCUUGCCGUGCCCCUUGUCAUAGACCCAAGGAGCAACUCUGUCCCCUGAGCGUUGGGGGUCCCGGGGGAGAGGUGGACAGACACCUCCCUCCAACUGGCAUUUGGCAACAGGAGCCUGGACUUCUGUGCAAGAAAGGGAGACCUAAGGGUGAACAGUGGCCAAUAAAAACCCUAGAGAACAAACAUCCAUUUCCUAGGUGGUUACAAAUCAUAACUUCCUGCAAAUCAACGCCAGGAGAGCAACUUACCUUCAUUUCUUUGUCUUAA
rnacentral:lncRNA from 1 species